rnacentral:lncRNA from 1 species
UGGUUUUUUCUCCGGUUUUGGAGUUUCCACGUUAUUUUCUUGUGUUGUGAUUGUGUCUUAAUUUUUUAACUUAUGCUAUUUUUCCCAACAACUGGUAUCAAGAGCCAAGGUUCGGAGGUUCGGUAGGAUAAUUUUUCUUAGUAUGCUCUGUGGUUGCAGCUUUGUCUGAUCUUCCACAUCAGAAAAUAAUUAUCCUUGGUAUUGUUAGGGGAAAGGUGAUACUGUGAAAGUGCUGU